AGGGACCAAAAAGGAACGUGAAUUGGCCAGCAAAACUUACGGCUGACCUUCACUGCAGCCGAGACAUGGCUGAUCAGCCAUUGGCUGAUUUUUAUGGCUCUCAUCUCCCACCUAAAUCACACUUAAUACCCUCUUAACACCAACCCAUUUCCUUAAAUUCCCUAGACAUUUGAAUACUGUAAUGACAAAAGCCUUCACAACCAUUUUACCAUCGCACACCAUCCUCUAUCUCUCUCCACUCUUGAUCGUCUCCCUCCCUCUCUGAUAAGCAAUCAGCCAACCACCAUCACUUGGUGGCGGCGCUCGGAGGCGGCGGCAGAACCACCACAGCAGCAGCACGGUGGUGGGUGGCGUUUCAGUGGUGGUUGCGGCCUAAAGACGGUGGUUACGGGCAGUGGCAGCGGCGACGACGAAGACGACGGUUCUGCCGUUCUUUUCCGGUGAGUUUUAAUUCGUUUUUGGGUCACAAUUCAGUUUAAUUCGAGUUUCGGUUUGUUUGGUCCUGGAACAUCGGGUCAGACUCGGUACGGUCCUUGUUCGGGAUUCGUUUUGCUUUCGGUCAAGCGGGUCAAAUACGGUCAACAUCGCGGACGCACGUCGGAGCUCGACGGAACUUACGGAUCAUCGUUCCACGGUUCGGUAUGCCUACUGGUACUUGUUUCGUUCUUUUGGAUUUCUCAAUCUUUACUCGUGCGUUACAAGGAAUUCUUAUACGCAACCAAUGUUGAUGAUGACGAUGCUAUAAAAAGAAGUAGCGUUGAUGCCUAGAUACACAUAUAGACGUUUAGGUUAAUAUGUUGUAUCAAAUUUUGCUUAUGUUGUUAUGUAUUACUUUUUGGAACUUGUUGUCAUUUGAGUUUAUGUAAUGUUGACUAUUUGAAGUUAUGAAAUGAAAUUGGGAUUAUUAAAAUAUUGUC
rnacentral:lncRNA from 1 species